rnacentral:rRNA from 1 species
CGCGUAGGCGGCCUGGUAAGUCUGACGUGAAAUGUACCGGUUCAACCGGGGCACUGUGUCGGAAACUGCUGGGCUUGAGGUCGAGGGAGGAAAGUGGAAUUCCUGGUGUAGCGGUGAAAUGCGUAGAUAUCAGGAGGAACACCCGUGGCGAAGGCGACUUUCUAUCUCGAAUCUGACGCUGAGGCGCGAAAGCUAGGGGAGCAAACGGGAUUAGAUACCCCGGUAGUCCUAGCCGUAAACGAUGAACACUAGGUGUGGGAGGUAUCGACCCCUUCCGUGCCGCAGCUAACGCAUUAAGUGUUCCGCCUGGGGAGUACGGCCGCAAGGUUGAA